rnacentral:rRNA from 1 species
AUACGUAGGUGGCAAGCGUUAUCCGGAAUUAUUGGGCGUAAAGCGCGCGUAGGCGGUUUUUUAAGUCUGAUGUGAAAGCCCACGGCUCAACCGUGGAGGGUCAUUGGAAACUGGAAAACUUGAGUGCAGAAGAGGAAAGUGGAAUUCCAUGUGUAGCGGUGAAAUGCGCAGAGAUAUGGAGGAACACCAGUGGCGAAGGCGACUUUCUGGUCUGUAACUGACGCUGAUGUGCGAAAGCGUGGGGAUCAAACAGGAUUAGAUACCCUGGUAGUCCACGCCGUAAACGAUGAGUGCUAGGUGUUAGGGGGUUUCCGCCCCUUAGUGCUGCAGCUAACGCAUUAAGCACUCCGCCUGGGGAGUACGACCGCAAGGUUGAAACUCAAAUGAAUUGACGGGG